AAAAAAAAAAUUUACAGAUCUUGAUCUUCCCUUCUGUCUUCUUUAGAGGAUGUCACUUCUUGAUCUCUGUCACUAACUUACAUUCCAGAGGACGUCCGGUUUAUCCUUUGUGCGCCCAGUUUUGGAGCAGCAGCAGGUUUAGCUCCCCGGCCUCUACCAGCUGACAAUGGUUUAGCUCUUGUAGUGGGUGGAGGAGCAGCAAUGGCUGCCCAAGGAUCAUCAUCAUCAAGUGUUGAUGCUGUUUUAACAUUCAAAGGUUUUGACGUUGUUUUUGGAGCUGAGGCAGCUAUGGAACCCCAUAAAUCAUCAACUUCAUCUUUUGUCACCUUUACAGUAUUUUUCGGUCGCACAGUAGUAGCUUGGAGUUUUGGCUGUGAAACUGGCUGAGAGACUGGCCGCUUUUGAGCGGCUUGAAUGUUUGCGAGAGCUGGAGAUGGCUUUGGCUCUUCAAGAGGUUCAAUAUCAUCCCAACCAUCUUUGUCACCAUCUUGCUCUUCAUGAAUCCCAUUUUCAAUUUCUCCCCAGCCAUCUGUUGAAGUGGGAGACACAGGUACUGGUUGAUCGGCUAAGUCUGUGCUGGAAUUCACACGGGCUGGUGCUGUGCUUGGAGUAUCCAUCGCUGAGCUGGCAUUGGUGGCAGUAGAAGUUAGAGGUGCACCAGAAUUUAUAGGAGGAAGUGAAGCUUGCUCAGAUGGUUUACCCUUGAGAGUCAACGAACUCAUAGCCCAUCCAAGUAAACUAGCAUUUCCUGGUAUUGAUGAAAUUCCCACAGCUGCACUGGUAUCUCCUGCAGAUGUCUUUUCAUAAUACUGCUUGACUAUUUGCAGAAAUUGAUCAACAGCUUGAAAUGCUUUUGAUCGAACAUCACUGUCAG
rnacentral:misc_RNA from 1 species